CAGAUUUUAAACCACACGUUGGGAACAUACAGGUGGCGGGAAGCUUUUACUCCUUCCUUCAUCUGAGCUUUCACUUUACAACGAAGAGACUGCUGAAUUUAACAAGAAGCACAAGACUUUAGGCUGCAAGGAACUAAGAUGAGAAGAAAGAUGUGGCUUCAGAAUAUGAAGAUAAAACUGAUUGUUUUGGGUUUUCUUAUCGCCCUGAUUCUUAUCGUUGUGCUGUAAGUCUGCCAUGGCUUCAAAUGUUAAUCUGUCUUGGAUUUCCCUCGGACCGCUCUUGCUGCCUGCGUUGUCUUGAUAGAUUGGUUUGUCUUACUUGUUUUUUUAAGGCAUAUAUUUCUCCCUUUGGUAGCCGUUUAGGAUAGAGGGGAGGCUUUGUAUCUUGGUUGGCUGUAUAGGUUGUAGUCUGAACUUGUUUCGGUAGAUAAAAAUUUCUAUGGAGGAUUUCUUCUUUAUAUUGUAAUGGGGGAAUACUCGGAUGCCUGCAUACCAAAUUUGUCCUUUUGAAAUG